UGCAUACUGCAGUAACAUUGUCUCUUCCAAAUUAUAGCUAUCUUUCACACACAGCUCAUUUUAAACGUUGGUUCUUCAAAUUUAAAACGCUAAUUUCUAUGUUGUCAAUUGCAUCUCCGCGCUCGGUGGCAUCAUUGCUACGUCACCACUCCUCACUGCAUGUUUCAGGGGGAAACGCUCUAUGAGCUAGCCCUUCACUGACAAUACUAGUUUUAAACUAGUCCUGACAAUACUAGUUUUAAACAGGCGAAGUCAGAGCAGGUGCAACAUAGUGACGUCAGACUACUUCCUGUUAACCCCCUAUGAGGAUUGCGCCGGCGAGGAUAUAAAUAUUAUUAUUAUACAAAGAUUUCAAUACCAGAUGGCAGCACAAGUAACAGCAGGAAAUUCUGCGGCAUCUGUUGGAAAAUAUUUUUAUUUAUUUGUUGAUGUCUACAGACGCUUGUUUCCAUGACACUGCCAGGCAGAUGUUUUGUCUAUGUCUUCAAGCAAAUACUAGCUGCGAGGGGAUUUGCCAAGAUGACUUACACCGACAGGUGUGCAUCGAGAAAAACCUGAUAAUCACGGUGCGAUGAAAUGAAGGCAAGAAGUGAAGGUCACGUCCAGCAACAAUAGCGGUUUUGUCCCAAGUUCCCCCUGUCUUGGGAUUUCUAUUGCCGCAUUUUCGAUGUUGAAAAUUUCAAGAAGCGGAAAAAAACUGUUUUGUGUUUCCUGGUCAAGGGCUGAAAAAAAUUGUUUAACUAUAAACAAUUCAAAAUUUUCCUUUUGUUUCGGAGGAAUUACAAUUAGUGGAAUCUCAAAGGUCAUGUUUCAAAUGCUGGGCAUCAUUC